UUGAAGUCAAUUUCAGAUUUGAGAUGAAGAAUCUGAGGCACAAAGAGGUCAACUGGCUUGCCCAAGGGUACUUGGCAGAAGGUGAGCUCUGAUAUAGUGCUUUAGUGCACGGACUCAGAAAGUGGAUGAGAUGCUCCCAACUACUCUUCCAGGCAGCGUCCCUACCCCAUUUAUCAGGUGAAGCCUCUCCAUUAGAGUACCUUGCAGAGACUUCCCCGGGGCUAAACGCAGAGCUGGCAUUGAG
rnacentral:lncRNA from 10 species